rnacentral:lncRNA from 1 species
AGGAGUGAAAGAUUGAAAUGGAGUUCUCUGCUUAGUAAUAAAAUGUGAAAGAAAAUUAUGGAAAACAGAAGAAGAAUAAAGAAUAAAGAUAGAUGUUAAGGGAUAAUAGCAAAGGUUAUGGUGUGAUGUGAGGGCAGUUCAUUUUUAUGCAUGGUUAAUAUCAAUAAUUUUUUAAGAUAAUCGCAAAAACAUAUAUUAUCUAUUAGUUUAAAGAAAAAGAUAAGUGUUAAUAAAUUGGUCAAUAUGAAAAACACAUAUCACAAUGUAUAUCAAAAGUUGAGUAUAAAGAAGUAAAUUUAAAGUACAACAAAGGUAAAACAAAAAAG